AGAGGUUAUUAUUUUUUGUUUUGAAGAAGAAUUAAUUUUUUGUACCUUUUGUAUCAGGGUUUAUUAAAAAUUAUAAUUUAUUUUUAUGGUCUCGAAUUUAAAAGAGUUAAAAAUUUAUUGAUUUUAUUAUUGAAUAAAUAUUUUUAAUAAGUUUUUAGUAGUGAAAUGUUAUUCGUUUUUAAAUAUAUCUAGUUUUUUAAGAGUAAAAUUUAAUUUUAAAUAUUUCUAAUUAAUUAAAUUAUUUUAUUAGUUUAUUAUUAGAUUUAUUUUAUUUUUUUAGGGAUAAGCUUGGAAAAAUUAAUUUAUUAGAUUA
rnacentral:misc_RNA from 1 species